rnacentral:rRNA from 1 species
AUGAACGCUGGCGGCGUGCCUAACACAUGCAAGUCGAGCGAUGAAACCGCCCUCGGGCGGACAUGAAGCGGCGAACGGGUGAGUAACACGUGACCGACCUGCCCCCCGCCCAGGGACAGCCCCCCGAAAGGGGGAUUAAUACCUGGUACUCCCGGGAAGGCGCAUGCCUUCCCGGGGAAAGCUUUCGCGGCGGGGGAUGGGGUCGCGGCCCAUCAGGUAGACGGCGGGGCAGAGGCCCACCGUGCCGACGACGGGUAGCCGGGUUGAGAGACCGACCGGCCACAUUGGGACUGAGAUACGGCCCAGACUCCUACGGGAGGCAGCAGUGGGGAAUUUUGCGCAAUGGGGGCAACCCUGACGCAGCAACGCCGCGUGCGGGACGAAGGCGUCCGCGUCGUAAACCGCUUUCAGCGGGGAACACUUCAACGAGGGUACCCGCAGAAGAAGCCCCGGCUAAAUACGUGCCAGCAGCCGCGGUAAUACGUAUGGGGCGAGCGUUAUCCGGAUUCAUUGGGCGUAAAGCGCGCGUAGGCGGAGCGCUAAGCGGGACCUCUAACCCGAGGGCUCAACCCCCGGCCGGGUCCCGAACUGGCGCUCUCGAGUGCGGUAGGGGAGAGCGGAAUUCCCGGUGUAGCGGUGGAAUGCGCAGAUAUCGGGAGGAACACCGACGGCGAAGGCAGCUCUCUGGGCCGAAACUGACGCUGAGGCGCGAAAGCUGGGGGAGCGAACAGGAUUAGAUACCCUGGUAGUCCCAGCCGUAAACGAUGGGCGCUAGGUGUGGGGGAUAACAUCUUCCGCGCCGCAGCCAACGCGUUAAGCGCCCCGCCUGGGGAGUACGGCCGCAAGGCUAAAACUCAAAGGAAUUGACGGGGGCCCGCACAAGCAGCGGAGCAUGUGGCUUAAUUCGAAGCAACGCGAAGAACCUUACCAGGUCUUGACAUCCUUCUGACCGCACCUUAAUCGGUGCUUUCCUUCGGGACAGAAGAGACAGGUGGUGCAUGGUUGUCGUCAGCUCGUGUCGUGAGAUGUUGGGUUAAGUCCCGCAACGAGCGCAACCCCUGCCCCGUGUUGCCAGCAUUCAGUUGGGGACUCGCGGGGGACCGCCGGCGUCAAGCCGGAGGAAGGCGGGGACGACGUCAAGUCAUCAUGCCCCUUAUGCCCUGGGCCGCACACGUGCUACAAUGGCCGGUACAGAGGGUUGCCACCCCGCGAGGGGGAGCGGAUCCCGCAAAGCCGGCCCCAGUUCGGAUCGGAGGCUGCAACCCGCCUCCGUGAAGCCGGAGUUGCUAGUAAUCGCGGAUCAGCACGCCGCGGUGAAUACGUUCCCGGGCCUUGUACACACCGCCCGUCACACCACCCGAGUCGUCUGCACCCGAAGCCGCCGGCCGAACCCCUCCGGGGGGCGGAGGCGUCGAAGGUGUGGAGGGUGAGGGGGGUG